rnacentral:rRNA from 1 species
GAGCGGAUGAACUGAGGGUAGCGGAGAAAUUCCAAUCGAACCUGGAGAUAGCUGGUUCUCUCCGAAAUAGCUUUAGGGCUAGCCUCAAGUGAUGAUUAUUGGAGGUAGAGCACUGUUUGGACGAGGGGCCCCUCUCGGGUUACCGAAUUCAGACAAACUCCGAAUGCCAAUUAAUUUAACUUGGGAGUCAGAACAUGGGUGAUAAGGUCCGUGUUCGAAAGGGAAACAGCCCAGACCACCAGCUAAGGUCCCAAAAUAUAUGUUAAGUGGAAAAGGAUGUGGCGUUGCCCAGACAACUAGGAUGUUGGCUUAGAAGCAGCCAUCAUUUAAAGAGUGCGUAAUAGCUCACUAGUCGAGUGACACUGCGCCGAAAAUGUACCGGGGCUAAACAUAUUACCGAAGCUGUGGAUUGUCCUUUGGACAAUGGUAGGAGAGCGUUCUAAGGGCGUUGAAGCAUGAUCGUAAGGACAUGUGGAGCGCUUAGAAGUGAGAAUGCCGGUGUGAGUAGCGAAAGACGGGUGAGAAUCCCGUCCACCGAUUGACUAAGGUUUCCAGAGGAAGGCUCGUCCGCUCUGGGUUAGUCGGGUCCUAAGCUGAGGCCGACAGGCGUAGGCGAUGGAUAACAGGUUGAUAUUCCUGUACCACCUAUAAUCGUUUUAAUCGAUGGGGGGACGCAGUAGGAUAGGCGAAGCGUGCGAUUGGAUUGCACGUCUAAGCAGUAAGGCUGAGUAUUAGGCAAAUCCGGUACUCGUUAAGGCUGAGCUGUGAUGGGGAGAAGACAUUG